AUGAACGCUGGCGGCGUGCCUCAUACAUGCAAGUCGAGCGAACAGAUGAGGAGCUUGCUCCUCUGACGUUAGCGGCGGACGGGUGAGUAACACGUGGAUAACCUACCUAUAAGACUGGGAUAACUACGGGAAACCGGAGCUAAUACCGGAUAAUAUAUUGAACCGCGUGGUUCAAUAGUGAAAGACGGUUUUGCUGUCACUUAUAGAUGGAUCCGCGCCGCAUUAGCUAGUUGGUAAGGUAACGGCUUACCAAGGCAACGAUGCGUAGCCGACCUGAGAGGGUGAUCGGCCACACUGGAACUGAGACACGGUCCAGACUCCUACGGGAGGCAGCAGUAGGGAAUCUUCCGCAAUGGGCGAAAGCCUGACGGAGCAACGCCGCGUGAGUGAUGAAGGUCUUCGGAUCGUAAAACUCUGUUAUUAGGGAAGAACAAAUGUGUAAGUAACUAUGCACGUCUUGACGGUACCUAAUCAGAAAGCCACGGCUAACUACGUG
rnacentral:rRNA from 1 species